rnacentral:rRNA from 1 species
GCUAGGGGGAUCCACCCGUUCCCAUACCGAACACGGCAGUUAAGCCCCUAUACGCCGAAAGUACUUGGCUGGAAACGGCCUGGGAGGAUAGGUAGGCGCCGGUU